rnacentral:hammerhead_ribozyme from 1 species
CUCCAGAUAAAGAGUCCCAAAUAGCACGAAAUGCGCGUCCUGGAU